rnacentral:rRNA from 1 species
GGGUUGUGAGGUUAAGCGACUAAGCGUACACGGUGGAUGCCCUGGCAGUCAGAGGCGAUGAAGGACGUGCUAAUCUGCGAAAAGCGCCGGCGAGGUGAUAUGAACCUUUGACCCGGCGAUGUCCGAAUGGGGAAACCCAGUGCAAUCCGUUGCACUAUCGUUAACUGAAUACAUAGGUUAACGAGGCGAACCGGGGGAACUGAAACAUCUAAGUACCCCGAGGAAAAGAAAUCAACCGAGAUUCCCCCAGUAGCGGCGAGCGAACGGGGAGCAGCCCGGAGUCUGAAUCAGCUUGUGUGUUAGUGGAACGGUCUGGAAAGUCCGACGGUACAGGGUGAUAGCCCCGUACACGAAAGCACACAUGCUGUGAACUCGAAGAGUAGGGCGGGACACGUGGUAUCCUGUCUGAAUAUGGGGGGACCAUCCUCCAAGGCUAAAUACUCCUGACUGACCGAUAGUGAACCAGUACCGUGAGGGAAAGGCGAAAAGAACCCCGGCGAGGGGAGUGAAAAAGAACCUGAAACCGUGUACGUACAAGCAGUGGGAGCCUCUUUAUGGGGUGACUGCGUACCUUUUGUAUAAUGGGUCAGCGACUUAUAUUCUGUAGCAAGGUUAACCGUAUAGGGGAGCCGAAGGGAAACCGAGUCUUAACUGGGCGUUAAGUUGCAGGGUAUAGACCCGAAACCCGGUGAUCUAGCCAUGGGCAGGUUGAAGGUUGGGUAACACUAACUGGAGGACCGAACCGACUAAUGUUGAAAAAUUAGCGGAUGACCUGUGGCUGGGGGUGAAAGGCCAAUCAAACCGGGAGAUAGCUGGUUCUCCCCGAAAGCUAUUUAGGUAGCGCCUCGUGAACUCAUCUUCGGGGGUAGAGCACUGUUUCGGCUAGGGGGCCAUCCCGGCUUACCAACCCGAUGCAAACUACGAAUACCGAAGAAUGUUAUCACGGGAGACACACGGCGGGUGCUAACGUCCGUCGUGAAGAGGGAAACAACCCAGACCGCCAGCUAAGGUCCCAAAGUCAUGGUUAAGUGGGAAACGAUGUGGGAAGGCACAGACAGCCAGGAUGUUGGCUUAGAAGCAGCCAUCAUUUAAAGAAAGCGUAAUAGCUCACUGGUCGAGUCGGCCUGCGCGGAAGAUGUAACGGGGCUAAACCAUGCACCGAAGCUGCGGCAGCGACACUAUGUGUUGUUGGGUAGGGGAGCGUUCUGUAAGCCGUUGAAGGUGUGCUGUGAGGCAUGCUGGAGGUAUCAGAAGUGCGAAUGCUGACAUAAGUAACGAUAAAGCGGGUGAAAAGCCCGCUCGCCGGAAGACCAAGGGUUCCUGUCCAACGUUAAUCGGGGCAGGGUGAGUCGACCCCUAAGGCGAGGCCGAAAGGCGUAGUCGAUGGGAAACAGGUUAAUAUUCCUGUACUUGGUGUUACUGCGAAGGGGGGACGGAGAAGGCUAUGUCAGCCGGGCGACGGUUGUCCCGGUUUAAGCAUGUAGGCGGAGGUUCCAGGUAAAUCCGGUACCUUGUUAACGCUGAGGUGUGAUGACGAGGCACUACGGUGCUGAAGUGAUAAAUGCCCUGCUUCCAGGAAAAGCCUCUAAGCAUCAGGUAACACGAAAUCGUACCCCAAACCGACACAGGUGGUCAGGUAGAGAAUACCAAGGCGCUUGAGAGAACUCGGGUGAAGGAACUAGGCAAAAUGGUGCCGUAACUUCGGGAGAAGGCACGCUGAUAUGUAGGUGAAGCCCCUGCGGGCGGAGCUGAAAUCAGUCGAAGAUACCAGCUGGCUGCAACUGUUUAUUAAAAACACAGCACUGUGCAAACACGAAAGUGGACGUAUACGGUGUGACGCCUGCCCGGUGCCGGAAGGUUAAUUGAUGGGGUUAGCGGCAACGCGAAGCUCUUGAUCGAAGCCCCGGUAAACGGCGGCCGUAACUAUAACGGUCCUAAGGUAGCGAAAUUCCUUGUCGGGUAAGUUCCGACCUGCACGAAUGGCGUAAUGAUGGCCAGGCUGUCUCCACCCGAGACUCAGUGAAAUUGAACUCGCUGUGAAGAUGCAGUGUACCCGCGGCAAGACGGAAAGACCCCGUGAACCUUUACUAUAGCUUGACACUGAACACUGGUCCUUGAUGUGUAGGAUAGGUGGGAGGCUUUGAAGCGUGGACGCCAGUCUGCGUGGAGCCAACCUUGAAAUACCACCCUUUAAUGGCUGGUGUUCUAACGUAGACCCGUAAUCCGGGUUGCGGACAGUGUCUGGUGGGUAGUUUGACUGGGGCGGUCUCCUCCCAAAGAGUAACGGAGGAGCACGAAGGUUGGCUAAUCCUGGUCGGACAUCAGGAGGUUAGUGCAAUGGCAUAAGCCAGCUUGACUGCGAGCGUGACGGCGCGAGCAGGUGCGAAAGCAGGUCAUAGUGAUCCGGUGGUUCUGAAUGGAAGGGCCAUCGCUCAACGGAUAAAAGGUACUCCGGGGAUAACAGGCUGAUACCGCCCAAGAGUUCAUAUCGACGGCGGUGUUUGGCACCUCGAUGUCGGCUCAUCACAUCCUGGGGCUGAAGUAGGUCCCAAGGGUAUGGCUGUUCGCCAUUUAAAGUGGUACGCGAGCUGGGUUUAGAACGUCGUGAGACAGUUCGGUCCCUAUCUGCCGUGGGCGCUGGAGAAUUGAGGGGGGCUGCUCCUAGUACGAGAGGACCGGAGUGGACGCAUCACUGGUGUUCGGGUUGUCAUGCCAAUGGCACUGCCCGGUAGCUAAAUGCGGAAGAGAUAAGUGCUGAAAGCAUCUAAGCACGAAACUUGCCCCGAGAUGAGUUCUCCCUGAGACCUUGAGUCUCCUGAAGGAACGUUGAAGACUACGACGUUGAUAGGUCGGGUGUGUAAGCGCAGCGAUGCGUUGAGCUAACCGAUACUAAUGAACCGUGAGGCUUAACCUUACAACGCCGAAGCUGUU